UGAGGAAUAUUGCACAAUGGGCGAAAGCCUGAUGCAGCGACGCCGCGUGGGUGAAGAAGGUUUUCGGAUCGUAAAACCCUUUUCUGUGUGACGAGAGAGGACGGUAGCACAGGAAUAAGUCUCGGCUAACUACGUGCCAGCAGCCGCGGUAAAACGUAGGAGACAAACGUUAUCCGGAGUUACUGGGCGUAAAGGGCGUGCAGGCGGCAGCCUAAGUCUGGCGUGAAAUAUCCCGGCUUAACCGGGAGAGGUCGUCGGAUACUGGGCAGCUAGAGGGCGGUAGAGGCGUGUGGAAUUCCGGGUGUAGUGGUGAAAUGCGUAGAGAUCCGGAGGAACACCAGUGGCGAAGGCGACACGCUGGGCCGCACCUGACGCUAAGACGCGACAGCAUGGGGAGCGA
rnacentral:rRNA from 1 species